rnacentral:tRNA from 1 species
GCUAAUGAAGCAAAACCUGGCAAUGCAAAAGAUCUAAGCUCUUUUAUUUAUGGGUUCAAAUCCCCUCAUUAACU